rnacentral:ncRNA from 2 species
GGCAAGUUUCAAGGAAGGUGAAAUCCCUUAUUGGCGGUAACGCGUGGAGCCGAGUUCAUAAUGGCUUCCGCACGAAGCCCGCUCGCCGCGCAAGUGGCUGAUUCGGUGCGAUUCCGAAGCCAACGGUAACAGUCCGGAUGAAAGAAACGAGGC